CUCCAGCCUGUUCAGCUCAGUACAAAUUCAAUGUCAUGUAUUUCUAGCUAGCUGCUGGGGCCGUGGCCAAGGUGAAUCAGCGAGUUCAACCGCUAAAUGCUAGCUGCUAGUCACGCUUGAUCAUGGUGACGACAUCGAGAUGUACUCUGGAGUCUUGACGCAAACUAAACCUCCUGCCCCGCCGUGCCGGGGUGUUCAUCCUUCCUACAUGUACCAUGUACUAGGCUGGGUGGAAUCAUCGUGGACUGAUCAAGCUACAGGAUGCCUGCGCGGCGAGCCCGGUUGGCUUUCUCUGCCGCGCAGACCGCUGAGCUACAGGCUCUCGUCACCUCGUCCCUUUCCGCGGCGCUGCCUCAAUAGAUGACUUGCACAA